rnacentral:tRNA from 1 species
GCGGGUAUGGCGUAAAGGUAGCGCAACAGCUUCCCAAGCUGUUGGUACGGGUUCGAUUCCCGUUACCCGCU